rnacentral:rRNA from 1 species
UACGGAGGAUCCAAGCGUUAUCCGGAAUCAUUGGGUUUAAAGGGUCCGUAGGUGGAUAAUUAAGUCAGAGGUGAAAUCUUGCAGCUCAACUGUAAAAUUGCCUUUGAUACUGGUUGACUUGAGUUAUACGGAAGUAGAUAGAAUAUGUAUUGUAGCGGUGAAAUGCAUAGAUAUUACAUAGAAUACCGAUUGCGAAGGCAGAUCACUAACAAUAUAUUGACGCUGAGGGACGAAAGCGUGGGGAGCGAACAGG